rnacentral:tRNA from 1 species
GCCCCUGUAGUCCAACUGGAAGAGGCGUCUGGCUCAAAACCAGAAUGUUGUGCGUUCGAAUCGCACCAGGGGUA